UAGCAGCACGUAAAUAUUGGCGUAGUGAAAUAAAUAUUAAACACCAAUAUUAUUGUGCUGCUCUA
rnacentral:pre_miRNA from 1 species